ACUGUAAUAUUGAAAAUAACAAGUUAUAAAUUUUAAAGUAGAUUCUUACACCUUCAAAAUUAGAAUGAAUUCAUUUUAUUCAUUCCGGAACUCACUAGCUAACAUUUUAUUUAUGUACACGUACAUACAUGUGCAAGUUAAUGCCACCGCUCACACAUAGCACUUAACUGUAAAAUAAACAUAAUGGUUUAAUUGAAAUAUAAUGCUAAGCAAUAACAAAAUAUCGCCAAUCAAUAUUUGUAAACAGAUUUCUGUAUGAAAUCAAUCCAAUAGACUCAAGGCUAAAGAAUUUCAUCACAUGAUGAAAUUCAUAUUAAAUAAACAAUAGAAAUAGUAUAAAUAGGCUUAAGUGUAAAAUGUAAGGGGUUCUUUGUUCUUUGUUCUUUGGCUGUAAGAGGACAAUCAAAUAAGUAUUUCAGAAUAAAAUGAAUAAAUAAAAAGCAACAGUUUAAUUUGUUUUUUUUUAAAAACCUCUCACAAUCGUGCUAAAAAAUAAGUGGCGAUCCUGCCAGGAGAUGUGAAAAAAUCUCUUGGACUUAAAUAAAAUUUUUUUUUGGCAACUAAAAAAGGAGACAAAAAUCUCCAGUUGUCCAAAAAAUAAAGAGACAAGUAUCGUAAUAAAUACGAGAAAAGUGAAACAAAAACUGAGUAACAAAUAAAGGAGACAAAAAUCUCCAGUUGCUUAAUUACAAGAAACAAGUAUCGUAAUAAAUACGAGAAAGGUGAAACAAAAACCGAAAAAAACUAAGUAACAAAUAAAGGAGACAAAAAUCUCCAGUUGCUUAAUUACAAGAAAUAAGUAUCGUGAAUAAAAUAAUACGAGAAAAAAUAUAUAAAAACAAAAAAGAAGGAAGAAAAAACUUUGAACGUGAAAAAAAUAAAUUAUUAUUAACGGCGGUACCGACGAGGCAGCAACCAGGAAUAAAUAUAAUUUUUUAGAUAUCAGAGAUACAAUAUGCCGAUGUAAGAGAACCAAUAGCAAACUCACGUGCAAGUGAGAAUUUAGAGCAACGUAAUCAGUAUAUUAACAUCAUGGCAAAGAGAUGCACGUCAACGAGUGACUGACGCUCACAAAGCAAAUGACCGAUAGACUUUUCAUCUCAUCCGCUAUUUAUGGUUGGUAGUAUGGACAAAGAAUGUCAAUAUUGUCAUGCUUUUAAAUGCAAAGGUGAAUCGGCUGGUUUAUGUUGCGCAUCAGGAAAAAUUUCACUGCCAUCACUGAUGCCGCCAUCAGAAUCUUUGAAAACGCUAUUUGCUGGGAACACAUCUCAAUCAAAGUUAUUUUUGCGCAACAUUCGUAAAUUUAAAUCUUGUUUCCAAACGACCUCAAAUGAAGCAACAAUAUUGAAAAUGGUCGCAAUUUUGAAACUACAUUGAAGAUUCAAAGCCAAGUGUGCCACCAAAUAGAUUCAUUGCCUGACGCCGAUACACAAUUCUUACAAAUUUACUUCAUGGGCGAUGAGAAAAAACAAGCUAAUACAUGCUGUGCAUACAAUCGUAUAGAGCACAUGGAGGAACAAGAAGUCGUUGAAAUUUUGGAAACGUUCUUGAAAAACAAUAACCAAUUAGUACGAUUAUUCCAGUCUCUCUUAAACAGACUGCAAAACGACAACUGCGUCAUUGUCAUUAAGGCCGACAAAGUGCCUAAUGGAGAGCAUACAGGCAAAUAUAACGUUCCAACUGUGAAUGAAGUUGCAGUUGUUAUGGGUCGUGAUCCAACUGGACGUCGAGAUAUACGUAUACAACGCAGAGAUAAUACAGUGCAAAUAAUUCAAGACAAUCAUGGAUAUCAUUUAAUAUCAAACAAAGUAAUCUAACUACAGGUAAAGUACUGGCCAAGAAUGUUAGUGCAAUGAACUUCUAUGUGAUACGUCCUAAUGAAGAUAAUAACAUUCAAACAAACAACAAACAAAACAAAACUUCGCUCUGAGGAAUACGUUCAGUUGGGUGACGCCAUUAUCGGCAACGUAGAUAGAACAAAUAACAUUAACAACAAAGGCACCGCAUAUAUUUUUCCAACACACACUGGUAGUACAUGUCAUAUGCAAGAAUAUAUUCAAGACGCAAUGAUUUACAUACGAGCAUACAUUUACAUGUAAUGAAAACUGGAAUGAAAUUAAAAAUUUGCUGUUGCCAAAUCAAACAUCGAUCCAUCGCCAUGAUGUCACUGCACGUUUGUUCAAACAAAAACUAAAAUCUUUAUUAAAUUUGAUUACACAUCACUCAAUAUUUGGCGAAACACGUUACUGACUUAACUGUGUAGAAUGGCAAAAACGAGCAUUGCCACAUGCGUAUAUUUUGAUUUGGUUAGUGGAUAAAGUGCGCCCAGAAGAAAUAGAUAUCAAUAUUUCAGCGGAAACUCCGGAUCCAAAUGUUGAUCAAGAAUUUUUUGAUAUUGUGGUUACUAACAUGAUUCAUGGGCCGUGUGGAACUUUAAAUAUUAUAUCACCAAUGAUGAAAUCACACGUUAUCAAAUAGUCGUAACGAAGCAAUUUGGCGCAUUUCUGGUUAACCUAUACAUGAGAGAGAUCCAGCCGUUAUAAAUUUGGCUGUGCAUCUUGAAAAUGAAUAGACCGCAGUACAACGAGCUUUAACAGCUCCAAAAACAAAUUCAAUGGUAUUGUAUGCAAUACUUUCUUUGAUGCCUGUCGUGAGUUACAUUUGUUGGAAGAUGAUAAUCACUGGGAUCUCACACUUGCAGAUACAGCACUGAGUUCAUCGCCACACCAAAUCCGUCCAUUAUAUUAAAUAAUAUUAACAACGUGUUUUCCGUCUGAAGCAUCUACAUUGUGGAACAAAUAUAAAAACUCAAUGAGUGAACAUGCCGAUCAUUCUCUUUGGCAUGCCAGCACCCAAUCGCCCAGCAGCAGAUAUUAUUAACAGCGAUGCUCAAUACGAACAGCAGUUUGAUAGAAACUCUUUGGCUGCUUUUGUUGUUACGAACAGAUUGGCUUACCUAUAAUUUUGCCUCGAAAGUGAAUUUGCCUAAGUUGUGUAAUGGAACGCGAUUAGCCAUAAAAAAAAUCAUGGGCAACAUUCUUGAAGCCACUAUUUUGGGAGGAAAAUUUGAAGGUGAAGUUGUACUUCUACCAUGGAUUCCUAUGAUUCCUUCAGAUCUACCGAUACCAUACAAACGGUUACAAUUUUCUAUCCGUUUGGCAUUUGCGAUGACUUAAUACAGCGCAAGGUCAAACAAUGACGAUUUGUGAACUAGAUUUAGUAAAUCCGUGCUUUUCUCAGGGCCAAUUAUACGUUGCGUGAGGAAACCAUCGAAUUUGUUUGUUUAUAUCACUCAAGCAAUAACCAAAAAUAUUGUACAUCCGAUGGCAUUACGAUAAUUUCAGUAUUUGUAGAUAACUAACUCAAAGAAUAAAUACGUUUUAUAAAAUAGUUUAAGAUUGAACAUUAUCACUUUCAAUUGAAACAACUUUAUUUAUUAAACACAGAUGUAGAAGCUAACAAUCUCUGAAGGCAUACUAAUACACAUACUUACAUGCUAUCGAUUGGUUGAAUUGUGAUAAAUACAUAUGAAUGACGUUAGGUAUAGUAAUAAGUUUGUAUUAAAAAAUUUUAUUAAAACGGUCUCAUUGUUUAGAUUUAAGACGUAUGGACAGGACAACGUUUGUCGGGUCCGCUAGUAAAUGUAUAUGUGUUUAUGCAUAGAAUGUGUACCUCUGCAUAUAGACAAUAUGAACACAAACUCUUUUGUAGCCCUCUAAUUUUUGGGUUUGGUUCAUUAUUCCCGCAUUUCGCAUCGUUUUGACCCGCCCGGUGAUCGCAACUAUGAGCGAGUGGUUGGCGAAAAGGAACACAAAAACAUACACACAUUAAUUUUUGCAUAUACUUAAGUACGAUUAUUUACAUACAAAGGGGACGUGUUAAUAUCUGAAUAGCUUAACAUCUUGUAUUUAGUUUUAGCUGUAACUUGUUAAACUUGAAAUUAAUUAUUAUUAUAGCCAAUCUAUGUCACUAUAAAUAAAUUGGAUGUACGAAAUAUUAUAAUAUCCCA